rnacentral:misc_RNA from 1 species
GUGAAUCAUCGAAUUUUUGAACGCAAAUGGCACUCUCUUCUGAGAGUAUGCCUGUUUGAGUUUCAGCUUAAAAAAAAAUCGACAUAGUCUCUGUUUCGCGGUGACAUUUGUCGGAAUUUGUGUCAUUUUAAACAUUUGGGUUUUAAGCGGCUUAAUAUUUUAUUUACUAUUCCACGAAUUUUUUUAAGUUUUAUUUCUUAUCAGUGUAAUGUU